rnacentral:misc_RNA from 1 species
AACUGCGUACACUUUCUGAGUGUCUAUUUUUUUUCGGUAUAUACUCGUUCCACCCAUGUGGACAAGGAAGCCCAAGUGACUUCCAAUUUUUGGAGGCGGCAACGCCAUCCUUCAGAC